rnacentral:lncRNA from 1 species
AACCAAAUCACAUCACAUAAGCAUUCUCCAACAUUUUCAAAACCAGAACAAGAUAUAUACUUAAGAAACUGCUAUUCAAUAAAUGGUAUAAAUAGAAGUAUAACAGAAAUCCAGAAAGAAUAGCUAUAAUAUGUACAACACAAGACUUCCUUAAGAAUAACUAGAAUUCAGUUUGAAAAGUACUUGCUAUUGAAAAGUACCUGCUCAGUAUUAUGAAAUAGAACACCACCAACAAACACAGCAACCUGAAAAGUUCCUUUGGUCUCAGGUGCAGAGGUAUUAACACCACUAGCAAGCACAAUAACCUGAAAAGGUAAACAACAGAAAUAAUCAUAGUUAUCACCAGAUGCCUUUCAGGUUGAUACUUUACUGAUAAUUGUAUUGAUAGUUAUAUUGAUAGAAAAUUGUAUUAGCUAUAACCUGCAAAUCUCAUAGUUAUACUGAUAAAAAAUUGUAUUAGCUAUAACCUGCAAAUCUCAUAGUUAUACUGAUAAAAAAUUGUAGGAUUAAUUUCAGUUUACCCCCAUCAACUUUAGGUCGAUCAUCAUGUUAGUCAUUCUUCUUUCAAUUUCAUCAAAAACACCCAUCAACUCCCAAUUUUCAUCAGCCGCGCAUGUUCAAACCUCCAAUCUCCAUCCAAUUCCUCUAUCAAGUGAUGACUUGAUAUCAAGAAGAAAGAAAAAAAGAAAAAUAGACAAAUUGCAUUCAAUCCCACCAAAAUCACUAAGGUUAGGGGGUUGUGAUGGGAACGAAGAUGUGUAUCGAUAUGGGGGAAAACUGGUUCGAAAGGUAACUUUCAUAAUUUGACUUUCUUCUUGAUAUCAAAUCAUCACUUG